CCUACGGGGGGCUGCAGUGGGGAAUAUUGGACAAUGGGCGAAAGCCUGAUCCAGCCAUGCCGCGUGUGUGAAGAAGGCCUUCGGGUUGUAAAGCACUUUCAGUGGGGAAGAAAGCCUUGGGGCUAAUACCCUCGAGGAAGGACAUCACCCACAGAAGAAGCACCGGCUAACUCCGUGCCAGCAGCCGCGGUAAUACGGAGGGUGCGAGCGUUAAUCGGAAUUACUGGGCGUAAAGCGCGCGUAGGCGGUCUGAUAAGCCGGUUGUGAAAGCCCCGGGCUCAACCUGGGAACGGCAUCCGGAACUGUCAGGCUAGAGUGCAGGAGAGGAAGGUAGAAUUCCCGGUGUAGCGGCGAAAUGCGUAGAGAUCGGGAGGAAUACCAGUGGCGAAGGCGGCCUUCUGGACUGACACUGACGCUGAGGUGCGAAAGCGUGGGUAGCAAACAGGAUUAGAUACCCCGGUAGUC
rnacentral:rRNA from 1 species